rnacentral:rRNA from 1 species
GUUUGAUCCUGGCUCAGAGCGAACGUUAGCGGCGCGCCUAACACAUGCAAGUCGCACGAGGAAAGGGGCGAACCCCCGGUACAGUGGCGCACGGGUGAGUAACACGUGGGUGAUCUGCCCAGAAGAAGGGGAUAACCUCUCGAAAGGGGGGCUAAUACCGCAUAGGACCACCGGGGCUUUGGCUCUGUGGUGAAAGGGGGGCCUCUGUUUACAAGCUCCUGCUUCUGGAUGAGCCCGCGUCCCAUCAGCUAGUUGGUAGGGUAAUGGCCUACCAAGGCUACGACGGGUAGCUGGUCUAAGAGGAUGGCCAGCCACACUGGAACUGAGACACGGUCCAGACUCCUACGGGAGGCAGCAGUGGGGAAUCUUGCGCAAUGGGCGAAAGCCUGACGCAGCGACGCCGCGUGGGUGACGAAGGCCUCGGUUGUAAGCC